AACGCACAUUGCACUCUUUGGUAUUCCGGAGAGUAUGCCUGUUUCAGAACCUUGAAGCCAAAUCACCUCUGAAAUCUUUGUCUCGGAUGGGUCUGAGUGUAUGCGAUGACCGACUUCGAGCAUGGAUUGAAUGAAAGGUGGAGUUGAGACGUUUGACUGGGCCUGGGUGCCUGAUUAACGUCAAUGUCUUGAAAAACAGGGCUCGGCACUUUUAAACAGCUUCUGUUUGAAUGGCCAAAAGAUGUGUUGAUGAGGCGGUUGUCCUCUUUUCAUCAUCGAUCGGUCGAGUAAAACAGGUGAAAAGAGGUUUUGGGUGACGACUUAAAAAGUUAUGCGUGGCAUCGUCUCCAGGAAGAGCGGCUUGCUUUUGGUUUGUGAGCGAUGAAAUACCACACAGGUUGGUCUGAAAUCAAGCAAGAGGACCCGCUGAACUUAA
rnacentral:misc_RNA from 1 species